rnacentral:rRNA from 1 species
UGGGGAAUAUUGCACAAUGGGGGAAACCCUGAUGCAGCAACGCCGCGUGAAGGAUGAAGGUUUUCGGAUUGUAAACUUCUUUUAUUCGGGACGAAGAAAGUGACGGUACCGAAUGAAUAAGCCACGGCUAACUACGUGCCAGCAGCCGCGGUAAUACGUAGGUGGCGAGCGUUAUCCGGAUUUACUGGGUGUAAAGGGCGAGUAGGCGGGAUUGCAAGUCAGAUGUGAAAACUAUGGGCUCAACCCAUAGACUGCAUUUGAAACUGUUUUUCUUGAGUACUGGAGAGGCAGACGGAAUUCCUAGUGUAGCGGUGAAAUGCGUAGAUAUUAGGAGGAACACCAGUGGCGAAGGCGGUCUGCUGGACAGCAACUGACGCUGAGGCGCGAAAGCGUGGGGAGCAAACAGGAUUAGAUACCC